rnacentral:rRNA from 1 species
CCUAGUAGCUGCGAGCGAACCGGGAAGAGUCCAGCGCCGAAUCCGGGUGCGCCUGCGCGCGUGCCUGGAAAUGUGGCGUAUGGGAGGCCGCGUGCCGUCGACGAAGUCCUUGGAGCAAGUCCCCUUGAUUGGGGCGAGCGUAAUGCGACCGAAGCGGGUGCGAGUCCCGUAGCCCUCGGUAACUGUCGGCGGAUGGCGGUCUCUCGUGAGUCGGGUUGCUUGAGAGUGCAGCCCUAAGAAAGGUGGUAAACUCCAUCUAAGACUAAAUACGACCUCGAGACCGAUAGCGAACAAGUACCGUGAGGGAAAGUUGCAAAGAACUUUGAAGAGAGAGUUCAAGAGUACGUGAAACUGUUCAGAGGAAAACGGGUGGGCGUUCGAACCCCCCCUCGGCGGUUACCCGGAUUCAGUCCGUCGCCUUUUUCCGGCGAGAAAUUAUCGGCGGUCGGUUGCUGCGCGAGUUCUUCGCGACUGGCGACGACGCGUCGGUUUUCUCGUUCUCGGGAUCGGUGGCGGACGCAUUUCCGCGGUUCCGCCCGAGUACAGGGCGCUGCGACCGAUCGGGCACCAAAGAGUGCCGGUCACGGGCGGAGUAAGCGGUUAGGAGUGCUGUUCGCGAGCGCGGAUUCGCGUCCGCGCGAGCGUCUGUCGCUCCUCCGGCUCGGCGUUAACCGUGGUCGGUCGUCCGAUCGGUGUGUGCUGAAGUGCAGUGGUGUGCGGUGCUCUCUCCGAUUUUUUUGUUGGUAGCGUGAGUUCGAGGCUGCAGUUUUCUGGUGGUUCCGCCGGUUCGCAGCGUCGCGUCUUCGGACGCGGACCGAGAAAAGCGUUCCGGGUCAGAGAACCUCGCGCCUCGUUUCGUCGACGCGAGGAGAGNNNNNNNNNNNNNNNNNNNNNNNNNNNNNNNNNNNNNNNNNNNNNNNNNNNNNNNNNNNNNNNNNNNNNNNNNNGACCAAGGAGUCUAACCCGUACGCGAGUCGUAGGGUCUUGCGUAGGCCCCGUGGCGUAGCGAAAGCAAAGUCGAGACAUUGGAUAACCGAAUAUAUCUUUUAGCAUCGGCGGCCCGGCGGUGCGGCCGGCUGGCACGGCCCGAUCGGGUCAAACCGAACGGCGAGUCGUGCCCGGCCCGUCGGAGUCCGAGCGUACGAGUUGGUACCCGAAAGAUGGUGAACUAUGCCCCGCCAGGGCGAAGUCGGAGGAAACUCCGGUGGAGGCCCGAAGCGGUUCUGACGUGCAAAUCGAUCGUCGGAGCGAGGUAUAGGGGCGAAAGACUAAUCGAACCAUCUAGUAGCUGGUUCCCUCCGAAGUUUCCCUCAGGAUAGCUGGCGCUCGCGAAACUCAGUCUCUCCUCGUAGAGAGAAUGAAUAGAGGCCCUGGGGCCCUAGACGACCUCAACCUAUUAUCAAACUGCUACGAGGUGCGUCGGCAGCGACUUGCUGACUUGAAGUCGCUGCGCCGUGGGAUGUGUGAGUGCCGUGUGGGCCACUUUUG